AAGCUUCUAUGGAUGUGUUCAUUAUCAUGACAAUACUUCACUACUUUUCCAUCUUGUUGGAUUGAAUUAGACAAUCCAAUUCUUGCUAAAUGAGGUGAAACUGACCAUGAAAAACAUCAUUGUAGUAUCUUGUGGAGGACAUCCAUUUUAGUAAUGCAUCAGAUGAGCCUAAUGAAGUCUGCCUUGUAUGAGGUUUGAUUGGAGAAAAAAAAAAGAAUAGCAAGUGCAUUUUUAUAGCAUGUUACUUAUCACUGAUUGUUUUCUGUUUUUGGACAUGGUGGAAUGUUCUUAUAAUAGCAAUAUUUUUGUUUUUUUUUAAUGCUAGGCCAGUAAUCAAAGACUACCUUUAGCUGAUACAAAGCUAACUUCUGUUGUUUAAUUUCUAUAUUCUAUACAAGCCAUGUAAAGGAAUUUUACUUUUUGGCCCACCUGGUUUGUGGGCCAGCAAUUGGAAGACUACGUUGAGCUGAUAGAAAGCUAACUUCUGUUGUUUAUAUUCUAUUCUAUACCAGCCAUGUAAAGGAAUUUUACUUUUUGGCCCACCUGGUACGGGAAAGACAAUGCUUGCUAAGGCUGUGGCAACUGAGGCUGGUGCUAAUUUCAUAAACAUAUCAAUGUCAAGCAUCUCUUCGAAGGUACUUAUCAAUUAGAUAAGCCUCUGUUCUUUUGGGCAGUUUGAGUAUCUGCAUUAUAGCAUCUAAAUAACCUAUUUUCCAG
rnacentral:lncRNA from 1 species